CGCCGCGGCUGGGAAGUCCGGGCGGCCGGGACCCGCGCGCGCUGCCCGGCCCGGCCGGAGCCUGUAGCCCGGAGUAGCCAUGGCCGGGCUCACAGCCCCCGCACGCCGGCCACCGGCCCCCGCCAAGCCAGUGUCCUAAGCCUGUGGUUUCCCUUCGCUUCUCGCCUCCCAAACACCUCCAACAAGUCGGAGGGCGCGAACGCGGAGCCAGAAACCCUUCCCCAAAGUUUCUCCCGCCAGGGACACCGGCUUGGAUGAGACACAGGCGUGGACAACAGUCUUCGUGAAUCUCCACAAACACGUGGAACUUGAAAAUACAACUACUGCCCCGUGUGUGCGCGUGAGACCUCACGUCACCCCAUCAAUUCCCACUUCGCCAAAGUUUCCCUUCAGUGGGGGCUCUGGAGUGGCGUGCCCCACGCCCGUCCGUCCUGCCACUUGCCCUGAUUGUGUACCCCUCUGCCCCCUCUACUUAAAAUGAAAAAAACAAAAACUGUUCCUAAUUAGCGAAACUUUAAAA